ensembl:lncRNA
AGAUGGAAAUAAAGGAAAGAAGAAAAACAUCUAGCUACUUUCAGGCUCGUCCACCUGCAUCAGGUUUUUCCUGCCUCGUGCUUAGUCGUGCUCUUUGUGACCCCAUGGACUGUAGCCCACCAGGCUCCUCUGUCCAUGGAAUUCCCCAGGGACUGAACACAGCUGCUGGCACCCUCAUGCUUUCCUGGAUGUUGCCGAUAUAUCUGUUUACUAAGUCAACGUCUAAACCCAGGUGGACACAGAUGAAGGCAGGGCCCCUUAGUCCAAAGCCCUCAGCUCACUCACCAUGGAGAACUGAAAAUUCAUCCUGCAGCACUUCCUACCCCAGGGAGAGCUCUCGUUCCUUUGAUCCUCAUGAUUCAUUUGAUCCAAUCAAACACUAGUUCAUUCUCACGUCCCCCAUGUUCAGUGAACACAAAGUGAACAUUAAUUUGUCUUCUCUCUGGAGUUCUUUUUAUAUCAUUGGGAUCAAUGAUGAGAUUCCCCCUGCCACCCCCA